rnacentral:misc_RNA from 1 species
CCUUGCCCUCUUCGGGCAGGGGUGGCUUUUCCCCUUGUUCAGAGUGUGAGUUUUUCCCUCCUUACCUCCGAACAGGGUUAUUAAUAAUUUUUGGCUUGUUUUGCAAUAGAUCGGGCUUAUUGGAGAGGGUUUUGGAGGCAUUUGUCUUGCUCCUACCAAGAGGAGAAUCACUUUGUGUCUUCAACUUGUUUGGUGAUGCAAGCUAGCUGUAGGUAGAUUUGC